CCACGAGAAGGCAGAGCAGGUGCGCAUGGCAUGUCAUGCGCAACCAAGUGUGUUAAUAAUGCAGGCCGUGCAUUUCACUUUAGAGUAUAGGCCUAUUGCAUGGGGAUUCUUCCGUCAACAACUUUAUAUUCGGACUUUUGGGUGGGAACCAAGGACUUGUUGAAAUCUCCCUUCUCCUGUUGGGAUGGGAAGAAGAAAAUAAACCUAAGGAUGCUUCGCGGAGAAUUUGUAGAAAAGAGGAAACACUGUCCCUUGGAGUUGUCCGCCCAGAAGAUAAAUAAUCCACCAUCGAAUCACGCGUGUUACAAACGUUUCCGGAGAAGAAUUUGCCGGGGUCACGGAAGUGAUGGAGCACCGCUGGCCAGUACUCCGUUAGCCACUGGGCGGUGCUGUUCUCCCUGCUAUGAGUUCGACACAGUCCGUCAAAGGUUGGCCAUGGACUCUCCACCGAGGGAUUCAACAACAGAAACAACACAAGACGUCACAAAUAAAAGUCUGCAAGGUGCAGAGGUGGAAGUUGAAGCUGAUUUGAAGAGUCGUACUGACAAACCACCUAUCCCGCCACCCGUCUUCUCUAUACGAAGCAGGCCCGAAGCAAGCAAUGCCACAAAGAAGGGCUGGCUGUGGGCUGUAGCAGAAGAGGGAAACACAAACACUGAUGGUAAUCUUGCACUGCACACAAAUGCGUGCAGACACAAACACCUCACACCCUCUCUAACAUGCACAGACUCACACACACACUCAUUCACACAGGCACCCACAGAUUCACACACACACACACACACACACACACACACACACACACACACACACACACACACACACACACACACACACACACACACACACACAAUCAUGCACACAGUACAUCA